rnacentral:rRNA from 1 species
GACGAACGCUGGCGGCGUGCUUAACACAUGCAAGUCGAACGGUGAAGCGCUUUUUUUUUUGGUGGGUGUGGAUGAGUGGCGAACGGGUGAGUAACACGUGCGUAACCUGCCCCCUUCUUUUGGAUAACCGCAUGAAAGUGUGGCUAAUACGGGAUAUUCUGGGUCUGUCGCGUGAUGGGUCUGUGAAAGAUAUUGUUUCGGUGGGGGCUGGGCGCGCGGCCUGUCAGCUUGUUGGGGGGGUGAUGGUCUUUCAAGGCGGUGACGGGUAGCCGGCCUGGGAGGGUAGACGGCCACACAGGGUGUCAGGCACCGCCGGGACUGCUACAGGGCGCAGAAGAGGAGAGUAGGGCACAGUGGGCACAAGUCUGAUGCAGGCACACCGCGUGUGGAGCGAAGCCCUGCGCGUGAUGAACCUCUUUCGCCAGUGAAGCGGGUCUGCCUCGUUUGUGGGUUGAUUGACGGUAACUGGAAAAGAAGCACCGGCUAACUACGUG